GUUGAUCAGUGACUGUCCAGGACUUUCAGAGACACUGACACGCUGGCAGCAUGAUGAUGAUGUCACUGAUUCUACUGCUGGCCACCCUGGGGCUCCUUGUUCAGGGUUCAUCAGGAGAAAUCAUCCUGACUCAGUCUCCUGGAUCUCAGUCUGUUGCUCCAGGACAGUCUGUCUCUAUCAGAUGUAAAGCCAGUUCAGGAAUUAGUAGCUACCUUCACUGGUACCUUCAGAAAUCUGGAGAAUCUCCUAAACUCUUAAUUAGCUAUGCUACAACUCGUCAGUCUGGAGUUUCCGACCGUUUCAGUGGAAGUGGAUCUGGAACUGACUUCACUCUGACCAUCAGUGGAGUUCAGACUGAAGAUGCAGGAGAUUAUUAUUGUCAGCAGAGUAACAGUUGGCCGUUCACACAGUGAUACAACGUCGUACAAAAACCUCCU